UCCUGGCUCAGAUUGAACGCUGGCGGCGUGCUUAACACAUGCAAGUCGCGCGUGAAAGGACUUCGGUCCGAGUAAAGCGGCGCACGGGUGAGUAACGCGUGGAUGAUCUACCCAUGAGUUAGGAAUAACGGCUGGAAACGGUCGCUAAUACCAAAUACGCUCCGAUUUCAACUUCGGGGGAAAGGUGGCCUCUGCUUGCAAGCUACUGCUCAUGGAUGAGUCCGCGUCCCAUUAGCUAGUUGGUGGGGUAACGGCCCACCAAGGCGACGAUGGGUAGCCGGUCUGAGAGGAUGACCGGCCACACUGGGACUGGAACACGGCCCAGACUCCUACGGGAGGCAGCAGUGGGGAAUAUUGCGCAAUGGGCGAAAGCCUGACGCAGCGACGCCGCGUGAGGGAUGAAGGUCCUCGGAUCGUAAACCUCUGUCAGGAGGGAAGAACCGCCACGGUGCUAAUCAGCCGUGGUCUGACGGUACCUCCAAAGGAAGCACCGGCUAACUCCGUGCCAGCCGCAGC
rnacentral:rRNA from 1 species